rnacentral:lncRNA from 1 species
GGAGGGUGUGGUGGUGGGCCAAAUAUUGUGGCUUGGGCUGAGUAUAUGGAGGUGUGCGGUAGUAAUGGAGGGAAUGAUUCAGUCUCACUCUUCUGCAAUUUAUGCCAUUAGUGAUUAGGGGUACGGAAAUGAAAUACAAGUGUUUAUUAUUCAAUUCUUAGCUGAUUUUAACAAAGGGGCAAUCAUGAAGUUUAGUCAAACCUAAGAUCAGUGAGGAGGGAGGUGAGAGCUGCAUUCCUGCCCUGUGGAGUUGAGGUCCACGGGAGGAAAGAUCUGCUGCUCGAUUGGUUCCCAAAGCCUACAAAUGACUGGCAGUUGAACAUAUAAUGAAAUCAAGGGGAUGAAUCCAUCUGAAGUCCCUAACGCUGUGCCAAAACCACAGUGAAACAGAGUCACAUGAGAUGGAAUGAACAUCGAGGCCUCGUCACAGGCCACAAUGACUCAGACUUAGAGGACCAACUUACUUCCACACUCACCAAUUUACCCACCCGCUAGCUCUGAGACAAACACUCGUUCUUCUCCAUACUCAAAACUAUUUCUGCACAUUCUGAGAACUUGGUUUACUGCAUCUCAAAAGUGCCACAUGUUGUAUAGCAGAAGAAAGUGAAUCUUGUUUUUGAUGAGGAUACAGGUUUAUCCCGUUCCCACACGUGAAGAGCGAGAACAACAUGAAUGAGGUAUUGGUACAGAGCCAAUAUUGGUCCUUUUUAAGCUCUUAAAGGGAAAAAAUAGCCCUUGUGGUCAACCGAAUCGCAAAUAUUUACCUGGCGUGGUUUACUCUAUUCUUUGGUGGCAAAUGCAGUAGUUUUUUCCAAUAACAUCGUCAAAUUUGAGAGAUAACCUUUCAUAAUAAAAAAAACAGCAAACUGGACAAAUCUGAGGAAAUCUAACAGCAUCCCAGACCGUUAAUUGGCAAUACAACUCGACUCUGCUGCUUGGUAGCUUAAGCAAUGGUAAACUUUUAGAAAAAAAAAAUAUUCGGCUGUCCACGUAGGAGAACCAUUUUUGGUUCCCAUGUGGAAAGGGUUCUACAUAGAACCCAAAAAGGUUACACCGGGAAACAAAAAGGGUUCUUCAAAGGGUUUUCCUAUGGCAACAGCCGAAGAACCCUUUUAAGUUCUACCAUAGCAAUUUGUUUUCUAAGAGUGUACCAUAAAUCAUGUUGUCACAAAGCUGAUUGGUGGAACAAGGGUCAGUGUGACAGAGUUUUACUGAAGUCAUCACAAUUCUUUGGUGACAAAUGAAGCCUUGUUUAUUUCCAUUUGCUAUUAACAAUAAGACACACCUCUAAAUCCUCAAAAUUGAUAGAGAACGUUUUCAUAACACAAUGAAAUAGGACACACUUGAGGAGUAAUUGGUUAUACAACACAGGGCAUCUGAUUGGUAGAUUUAUCUGUAGCGUCAUAAAUAAAAAAAUAAAAACAUCAUCUGAUUGGUGGAAUAACGGCCAGUGCGAGUCCCUGGUUUACAGCCUUACCCCUAGGCGUGCGUUGUGCCAAGAGACGGGACUGACUUAUGGAGCUGUCUUUGAUUGGGCAAGUCUCUGAGCUGGUGAAACGGGUUAUACUGUCCCACAGCAGGGGCAGAACCCAUCACAGAGUUUUACUUUGAAGUCGGGGUGGGGCACAGGCAGGGACGAGGCCCC